rnacentral:rRNA from 1 species
AUGAACGCUGGCGGCGUGCCUAAUACAUGCAAGUCGAGCGAACAGACGAGGAGCUUGCUCCUCUGACGUUAGCGGCGGACGGGUGAGUAACACGUGGAUAACCUACCUAUAAGACUGGGAUAACUUCGGGAAACCGGAGCUAAUACCGGAUAAUAUAUUGAACCGCAUGGUUCAAUAGUGAAAGACGGUUUUGCUGUCACUUAUAGAUGGAUCCGCGCCGCAUUAGCUAGUUGGUAAGGUAACGGCUUACCAAGGCAACGAUGCGUAUCCGACCUGAGAGGGUGAUCGGCCACACUGGAACGGAGACACGGUCCAGACUCCUACGGGAGGCAGCAGUAGGGAAUCUUCCGCAAUGGGCGAAAGCCUGACGGAGCAACGCCGCGUGAGUGAUGAAGGUCUUCGGAUCGUAAAACUCUGUUAUUAGGGAAGAACAAAUGUGUAAGUAACUAUGCACGUCUUGACGGUACCUAAUCAGAAAGCCACGGCUAACUACGUG